rnacentral:rRNA from 1 species
CAGUCGCCGCGGGAAUACGUAGGUGGCAAGCGUUGUCCGGAAUUAUUGGGCGUAAAGGGCUCGCAGGCGGUUUCUUAAGUCUGAUGUGAAAGCCCCCGGCUCAACCGGGGAGGGCCAUUGGAAACUGGGAAACUUGAGUGCAGAAGAGGAGAGUGGAAUUCCACGUGUAGCGGUGAAAUGCGUAGAGAUGUGGAGGAACACCAGUGGCGAAGGCGACUCUCUGGUCUGUAACUGACGCUGAGGAGCGAAAGCGUGGGGAGCGAACAGGAUUAGAGACCCCCGUAGUCCCUGUCUCUUAUAC